rnacentral:pre_miRNA from 1 species
GGCCCAAAUUUGAAGCAGAGUAGAUUAGAAGGAUCAUCUGACCCUAUUAAACUACUCCACUUCAAGUUUGUGCCC